AUAUAGCUUUAUGUUAAAAAACAUAUAAACAAAGGGGCCGCGAUUUUAAACUUGUGUACUAUAUUCUGUUUUCUCAGAAAAUAAAAACAGAACUUAAAAAUGUGUAAAGGAGGUAAGAGCACCAUUAACCCUAGCACUCCAAAAUAGGGUGUUUAAUUUUUUUUUUUCUGAUUUAAAAAACGAACCAAUCGCGGGUCGCUACGUAUAAGUGGAGUCCGCGAAACAGUGCUAACCACUAUUAUAUUAAUUUUUUGCUAAGCACUCCUCCCUCUAAGGGCACCAUUAUUGGGAAUCCCUUAAGGCAUCUCUUAGAGGGGGAUGGGAACCGUAGAAGAAAGAGAAGAGAAAAACCCUUAAUUAAGGGCUGUUCCUUACUCUCCAACUACCAAAAAAAAAAAAAAACAAGAGACUUUCUUUCUCUAUCUUCAUCCCACCAAUAAUGUUGCCCUAAACACCCCGUUAAUCCUGCUCUAAAGGUGUCUCCCGCACUCUUUUAUUUCUUGCAUGUUCUAGCUGACAUGACAACCCUCA
rnacentral:lncRNA from 1 species